GCGGCAGGCUUAACACAUGCAAGUCGAGGGGUAUAAGUCUUCGGAUUUAGGACCGGCGCACGGGUGCGUACGCGUAUGCAAUCUACCUUUUACAGAGGGAUAGCCCAGAGAAAUUUGGAUUAAUACCUCAUAGCAUAGCAGCUUCGCAUGAAGCCACUAUUAAAGUCACAACGGUAAAAGAUGAGCAUGCGUCCCUAGCUAGUUGGUAAGGUAACGGCUUACCAAGGCUACGAUGGGUAGGGGUCCUGAGAGGGAGAUCCCCCACACUGGUACUGAGACACGGACCAGACUCCUACGGGAGGCAGCAGUGAGGAAUAUUGGACAAUGGGCGCAAGCCUGAUCCAGCCAUGCCGCGUGCAGGAUGACGGUCCUAUGGAUUGUAAACUGCUUUUAUACGAGAAGAAACACUCCUUCGUGAAGGAGCUUGACGGUAUCGUAAGAAUAAGGAUCGGCUAACUCCGUGCCAGCAGCCGCGGUAAUACGGAGGAUCCAAGCGUUAUCCGGAAUCAUUGGGUUUAAAGGGUCCGUAGGCGGUUUAGUAAGUCAGUGGUGAAAGCCCAUCGCUCAACGGUGGAACGGCCAUUGAUACUGCUAAAC
rnacentral:rRNA from 1 species